rnacentral:rRNA from 1 species
AUUGAACGCUGGCGGCAGGCCUAACACAUGCAAGUCGAACGAGUGGCGGACGGGUGAGUAAUGUCUGGGAAACUGCCUGAUGGAGGGGGAUAACUACUGGAAACGGUAGCUAAUACCGCAUACCAUCGGAUGUGCCCAGAUGGGAUUAGCUAGUAGGUGGGGUAAAGGCUCACCUAGGCGACGAUCCCUAGCUGGUCUGAGAGGAUGACCGGCAACACUGUAAAUGGGACACGGUCCAGAAUCCUAAGGGAGACAGCAGUGGGGAAUAUUGCACAAGGGGCACAAGCCGGAUGCAGCCAUGCCGCGUGUAUGAAGAAGGCCUUCGGGUUGUAAAGUACUUUAAGCGGGGAGGCGUUACCCGCAGAAGAAGCACCGGCUAACUCCGUGCCAGCCGCCGCGGUAAUUC